UUGGAGGGCAAGUCUGGUGCCAGCAGCCGCGGUAAUUCCAGCUCCAAUAGCGUAUAUUAAAGUUGUUGCAGUUAAAAAGCUCGUAGUUGAAUUUCGGGAUCAAUACGUCGGUCGUGCUUCGGUACGUACUGGUGUCAUUGAUUUCUCCCUUCUGACGAACCAUGAUGUCAUUAACUUGGUGUCAUGGGAAAUCAGGACUGUUACUUUGAAAAAAUUAGAGUGUUUAAAGCAGGCUCACGCUUGAAUACAUUAGCAUGGAAUAAUGAAAUAGGACGUUCGAUCCUAUUUUGUUGGUUUCUAGGAUCAACGUAAUGAUUAAUAGGGAUAGUUGGGGGCAUUAGUAUUCAAUUGUCAGAGGUGAAAUUCUUGGAUUUAUUGAAGACUAACUACUGCGAAAGCAUUUGCCAAGGAUGUUUUCAUUAAUCAAGAACGAAAGUUAGGGGAUCGAAGACGAUCAGAUACCGUCGUAGUCUUAACCAUAAACUAUGCCGACUAGGGAUCGGAUGAUGUUAAUUAUUUAAUGACUCAUUCGGCGCCUUACGGGAAAC
rnacentral:rRNA from 1 species